AGUGCGGUGCGGUUAAAAUAGUA
rnacentral:siRNA from 1 species